rnacentral:sRNA from 1 species
CUCCUCCUGCGGUGUUCGAUGCAAACCCGGAAACCUUUCGACCCUAACUCACAAUCGCGGGGUCGUGUCCUUCCGGCAGCUGUGUGCAUUACCGCCUGAUGCGGAAAGCCUGGGCUGCCCCGGUUGACCCCACCUUCUGCUCUGGUUCGAGAGCGAAGGUUUGCAACGGCACAGGCGGGAGGUGC